GCUAUUUACAUCAUACUUUGGACAAAGAUUUUAAUUUUAUUUUAUCGAUUACUUUUUGCCAUAUGGAACUAUUAUGACUAAAAUCUUCCCUCCUGUCUCACACUUUGAAAAACACUCUUUCUUCAAGUGUGUUGAUUCCUUUGUUGUCACGGGCAACAAAACAGACAGUGCCCUACCUUGACUUGCCUCAUACUUUACAAAAUCACAUCACUCUCUCUCUUUCUCUCUCUCUCACACACUCACAUGCACACCCAGUCCCUUUGAUAUGAAGCAUCAACAUCAAUUAAAUCUCUUGGGUCUUAUAGUGCAGCACCAGGCAAGUCACCGAAACAGAAGGGGCGAUAUAUGAAACCAAAAACAAAGAUUACUGGCAGUGAGAGUGAUCUGUAGGGUGUGUUCUGUAGACAGCAGGAAUGACAGGACUCCUGACACUCAGAAGGUUCAUCUGAGAGCAGUCAGCUAUAGGAGCUCACCGCUGUGUGGGAGGAAACAUCAGAAAAUGCAGAGAAGUCGAAUGCAAGCGAUCAUGUAAAAAAAAAGAUGAAACCGUUUAAAAGGUGAAGCAGACUCACCAAAGUUGGUUGCAGUGUUAUAAAUAUUUCAGAUUCCACCCGGCUCAAGUUCAGACUGGAGAUCACUUCUUUCUUUUCUUUUUUUUAAACAGCAACAGUUUCUGUAUACAAUACCAAAAAUGUGGGGCCAGUUCAAAAUAGAUUUUCUCUAAGAAAUAAAUACUUUCAUUCAACAAGGAUGCCUUAAACUGCAUCAAAAUAGUUACUGUUUACAAAUAUUACCAAAAAAAAUGGAUUUUCUACUUAUCGAAGAAUCCUGAGAAAACAUGUAUCAGGGUUUCCACAAAAGGUUUAACCAACACAACUGUUUUCAUCAUUGAUAGUGGUAAUAAAAAAAGCCAAAAAUUAUCAUAUCAGAAUGAUUUCCGAAGGAUCAUGUGACACCGAAGACUGCAGUAAUGAUGCUAAUAAAUUCAGCUUUGCCAUCACAUGUAUCAAUCACAUUUCAAUGUUAAUAAAAAUAUAAAACAGUUUUUCUAAAUUCUAAUAAUAUUACUAUUCCACUGUAUCUUUGGUUAGCAUAAGAAACUUCUAUUAAAAACAUCAAAAAAUCCAACUCCAAACCUUCGAACGGCAGAUUUUCGGCGAUGAAACGUGUUCAGAAAAAAAACCAAAAGUUGUUCCCACAAUAUUAAAAGUGACAUUCGGCUUCUAAAGCUGAGCCGACAAAGAAUUAAAAGAGCUCACAUGAUUGCUGGGGUUAAAGACGCUGCCAGGGAACUCCAAAUUUUCCGGACAGGGUUUGUGGUUUGGACGCAGCAGUGCUUCCAACAUUUGGAGUUUAGAUUUCUGAAUUAGUUAAGCUGUAAAAAAAUGUGAUUAAAUGCAGCACAGUAAAAUUUUGUGAGGCAUGGGCACACUUGGAAAGUCUGAAAAAAUACUGUUCACAUAACAAAUUAAAAUGCAGGCAGUCAUUGACAUUCAACAGGCUUUUUAGAAUGAGUCAGUGUGAUAAAGAAAUACUUGUGUAGCUAAACAUCUCUUCUCUAAAUUCUGUGCACACACAAUGGCAAAAUCCUUAAAAAUCCUCCUGGAUUUGUGUCCCAACUCACACAGAAGUAUUUGUAUUUGAGUGUGUGUGCUGUGUGCAUAAUACAACUCCCCGCACAGCGGACGGAUUUCCGCAUCUCUGUCAGGAAUUUCCUAGAUUUCCUGUGCAGACUCUGACAGGGAGCUAAGCAGUGCUCCCAUGCUCUGCGCCUGCUCCUAAGGGUCUCGACUGAAAUCGAGGGAGUAUAAUGUUCCUUCAGCUUAAAACCUCAUUUGUAAAGGCAUCCAACCAGACGGCAGAGUUGAAAGGUAACGGCUCCACAUAAAUGGGGCCACAUAUGAAAAAAAUCAUCAGGGGUUUCCCCAAAGAGAAAUACACUUUAAGAAUAUAACAGUUGUCUGUAUUUAAAUAGAGUCGUAAAACACUCUAAAUGUGACUUUGAGUGUGUGUUUUUGCCUCUCAGACAUCUGGGCAUUUUGGGAGCUUUUUGAAGACUCAAAUAAUAUUUUCCCUUUUUCCCUCCUUUUUUUUCCUCCAUCUCUCCCAGUUUUCAUGCCUACCAAAACAUAGUCUUUUUUUUCAGGAUGCAAAUGGUACAUUACACAUCAAGUGAUAACCCAAAAGUAGAACAGUUGUUUAUCUUAAAAGAAUUACAAUUAAACAUUGGAAGUUAUUUAUUUAUUUAUUUAUUUACGUACUGUACAAGCCAAAAUAUUCUAAAUUAUUUUCCAAUUUUAAACACAGUCUUUGAUUUCAACAAGAUAUUGCAAAUGUUUUUUCUUCCCAUUUAAAAAUUCAGAAGUGUUGUUUUUUCAAAAUCUUCAUUUUUAAACAAAUCCUCACCAA